rnacentral:lncRNA from 1 species
GUUACUAUUGGAUUUCAGUUAAUGGUUAUCAACGUUUUAAUCUAAGAGGGUUUAAUGUAUCACUGUAAAUAGCAAGGCGUGUUCCAUGUUUUCAGUGGUCAUUUGUGUAAGGAUUCAUCUACAUUCACUUAAAUAAUUGCAUAUAAAGGAAAUUCUUGUUAUUUCAAAUAUUUAUGUGCUUCUUAUAGUGCCUUGGAAUCCAAAGGGUUAUAUUGUGUUUAUGUCAGAGAGGCACUCAGGGGGGUGGAGACCAGGACAUCUGGUGCAGAUUCUUCCUAGCUGAAGUGUGUUUUCUCUGGGGACAAUCAUCUACCAUUUAAUUGUUUUGCUUCCUUUUUUGGGAAUAUAUGCCCAUCCUGUGAUGUCCUAAGUCUCCAAGCAUCUUAUUUGACCUGUUUAUACUCAUUUGACUAGCUAUCCAUAUAUGACUACAUUGACGUGGUAAAGCUUUUACAUUCCUGUCCAGAUUGAAUCCUUCCAUCUGUUAUCAGUUAAGCCGUGGAAAAACUGUUAUGGAAAGCAAAUAUGUUUUGAUACAUUUAAUGUGUAAAGUAGGAACCUAGAUUCUGGAAUGCUGUUGAUCAAUAAAUGAACUAGAAUCUCUUCAAAACAACACUUAAGCCCCACUGUUUUACUUUCCAUACCAAGUUUGGCUGUGGCUGAAUGAAGAACACCAGCAUUGAUCUUUGCUUUGCACUUGUACAAGAGACUAUUUGUAGGGAGCCAAAUAUAGCCACAGAGGAUUUAAUAUCUUGCCAAAAAAUACAGAAUCUGUUCCCCUUUAAGCACGACACUCUAUCCUUUUCUUGUGGAUCUUGCUAAAAGGAAAAUAUAACUUUCAACUAGCCCAUUCCUCUGCUAGAAGUUCCCUAAUCUUUUUCAAAUGGGCUAUGUGUGGUUUUCAGGAGAUUUAUGGUUC